GACGUAGGGCGCGAGCGUUGUCCGGAUUUAUUGGGCGUAAAGAGCUCGUAGGCGGCUUGUCGCGUCGUCCGUGAAAACCUGCAGCUCAACUGCAGGCUUGCGGUCGAUACGGGCAGGCUAGAGUUCGGUAGGGGAGACUGGAAUUCCUGGUGUAGCGGUGAAAUGCGCAGAUAUCAGGAGGGACAUCGGUGGCGAAAGCGCUCAUCUGGCCCAAUACUGACGCUGAGGCGCGAAAGCUAGGGGAGCAAACGGG
rnacentral:rRNA from 1 species